AAAUUGAAGAGUUUGAUCAUGGCUCAGAUUGAACGCUGGCGGCAGGCCUAACACAUGCAAGUCGAACGGUAACAGGAAGAAGCUUGCUUCUUUGCUGACGAGUGGCGGACGGGUGAGUAAUGUCUGGGAAACUGCCUGAUGGAGGGGGAUAACUACUGGAAACGGUAGCUAAUACCGCAUAACGUCGCAAGACCAAAGAGGGGGACCUUCGGGCCUCUUGCCAUCGGAUGUGCCCAGAUGGGAUUAGCUAGUAGGUGGGGUAACGGCUCACCUAGGCGACGAUCCCUAGCUGGUCUGAGAGGAUGACCAGCCACACUGGAACUGAGACACGGUCCAGACUCCUACGGGAGGCAGCAGUGGGGAAUAUUGCACAAUGGGCGCAAGCCUGAUGCAGCCAUGCCGCGUGUAUGAAGAAGGCCUUCGGGUUGUAAAGUACUUUCAGCGGGGAGGAAGGGAGUAAAGUUAAUACCUUUGCUCAUUGACGUUACCCGCAGAAGAAGCACCGGCUAACUCCGUGCCAGCAGCCGCGGUAAUACGGAGGGUGCAAGCGUUAAUCGGAAUUACUGGGCGUAAAGCGCACGCAGGCGGUUUGUUAAGUCAGAUGUGA
rnacentral:rRNA from 1 species